AAUGUCUGGGAAACUGCCUGAUGGAGGGGGAGUAACUACUGGAAACGGUAGCUAAUACCGCAUAAUGUCGCAAGACCAAAGAGGGGGACCUUCGGGCCUCUUGCCAUCGGAUGUGCCCAGAUGGGAUUAGCUAGUAGGUGGGGUAACGGCUCACCUAGGCGACGAUCCCUAGCUGGUCUGAGAGGAUGACCAGCCACACUGGAACUGAGACACGGUCCAGACUCCUACGGGAGGCAGCAUG
rnacentral:rRNA from 1 species